AUAAUUCUGGGCCCAAAGAAAUCAGUAUCUACAGUGUGCCUUAGGGGGACUCUUGCAAUCAUCACUGUUCUCUAGCAAGCUUUCUAGAAACCAAAAAGCAACUGAAAUGGAAAAGCCAUCUAGUUCAUACACUGACCACUUGAUACCUUCUGUUGCUUGCAUUUCUGUACCAUCUCUGCUGUCAAAUGCAGCUGCUCCCUGGGUUUGUCCUGGGGGAAUUAACAGCCCAGAGAUGGGGUUUUUUGAUCCACAGCUACCAUUAAUUUCUUGUGGAAAUUAAUGUCCACAGCCUUUGUGCUAAUUCUCUCUAAUAAUAAUACAAAGUAAUGUUCCUUGCUUUUUUUCCCUAAAGGCAUGAUGUGGACAAGUGUCAUACAGCAUUUUGAAAUUAUUUUAAGAGAUGCUUUACAGAAAUAAAAAGGUAUUCUAGGUAACAUUUCGUCCUUUCUUUUAAUUUCUGAGGUCUUUUUGCACAAAUUUAUCAAAGAACUUGAGGUGGUGAUCAUGUUUCAUAGGGAGCCUGUUGACUGGUUACUUAUAGAAACAGUUUCUGGCCUCUGGCCCAAUUUCUUCAAAGGCCUGACAGUAGUCCCCUUGUCUGCAGCUUCAUUUCCCGUGGCUCGGUUACGCGCGGGCGCUAUGGUCCGGAAGCAAACGAUCCUCUUUCUGAUGUAUCCUCAGGUCAGUAGUAGUAUAAUGCCUCGUCACAGUGCCUGAUCAUUCACCUCCCUUCAUCUCAUUGCAUAGGCCCGUUAGCAUCUUACGCCAGGACAAGAGUGAGUAUCAGUGCAGUAAGACACUGAGGGAGAGACCACAUUCACAUAACUCAUUACAGCAUAUUAUUAUAAUUGUUCUAUUUUAUUGUUGUUUUACUCUUUACUGUGCCUAAUUUAUAAAUUAAACUUUACCACAGGGAUGGACAUAUAGGAAAAAUCAUAUAUAGGGCUCAGGACGACCUGCAGUUUCAGGCAUCCACCACCGAGGAUAACGGGGUGCUACCCUACUCAGCAACACGGUACGGGAAGUUUUCUUAAAGGAGGAAUGAGAUCUGCCGUUAGUGAUCACCUCCUCCUGCUUUACCAUUCAUCACUUAGGAGGUUCAACUGUGAGUUGGGUUUGAGUUUAGGAUACCUAUUUUUUCUGUAUUAUCCUUUUCCUUAAAAAGUGUGGGUCAUUUUAACAAAUAGUUGAACACUUAGUUUGCCAGGGAUUGCUCUAGAGCGCCCUCACAUACCUUAGUCUAUCUUCACAGUUGGAAUUCUAUUCAUAUUCCUUCUCCCCAGUUUACAGAGUGAGGAAACCUCAGAGUUUAAUGACUUUUCAAAGGUCUUCUAGCAUAGGAGAGGCAAAGGCGAGGUUAUGAAUUAUUUCUGACUCCAAGUCUAGUGCUUUUCUUGUUUUUUUUUUUUUUGUUUUGUUUUGUUUUUUAAGAUUUUAUUUAUUCAUUUGACAGAGAUCACAAGUAGGCAGAGAGGCAGACAGAGAGAGAGGAAGGGAAGCAGGCUCCCUGCCGUGCAGAGAGCCCGAUGUGGGACUCGAUCCCAGGAUCCCGGGAUCAUGACCUGAGCUGAAGGCAGAGGCUUUAACCCACUGAGCCACCCAGGCGCCCGCUUUUCUUGGUUUUUACCAUUUUUGUGACCCUGUCAAGCAGGGCUGCUAGGCUCCUGACAAAUGGUUGUGCCAGUCAUACACUGCACUAGGGCAGCCAACUGAAGGGAGACUUUUCUUGAUUUGUACAAUGGUAUGGCAUAGUCCUAAGUAGUGAGCAUGUUCGAAGUUUAUGUCCAGGGUUAUUCCCAACUUCUGAUUAUACCAGGUAUUUUCCCCUUAAAUACUGAAGGAGAUGCCUUCUGGCUACAGAAUUAGCAGUUACUGCUGAUACAGAUCUUUUGUUAGCUUUUUCAGCUAACAUGUCAGAUAGUACAUCUUUCUGCUCAUCAACAAGGGUAAACCAGUCUGACACGGGAAUCUUCCAGUGAAUUUGAAGGCAGCACCUUGACACUUUCUCUCCCUUCAUCUGUUCCUUCUUUUCCUUUUCUCCUGCCUAUGCCAGGAAUUGCGAAGUGGGGGAUACCUCUGAGCAUUGCUUGGCCUCUCAAGACCCAAGAGGUCAGCAGCUUGAGAGAGCUGGCCAGGCACAUCUUGCUCAGAAGCUGACAGUAGGGGACUUUCCAGUGAAAAAUCUUCUGUUCUAUUCCACAGCACACUAGGGAAUGUAAAGUUAAUAAUAGCCUUGGCUAUAGAACACACAUUUCUUAAAAUUUAGCCACUAUUUCUUAGUUACCUCAUAUACACAGCUCCAUAGAGUGGAAAUGGUCAGUCAUUUAACUAAAGUAAUAUAGCGUGUCUUCCUUUUAUUUACAGAAGACUAUUUAGCCUCUGCCUGGCUUGCCAUGUUCCUGUGAAUUGAAACCAAUAGGGUUCUCUACAUGUUAAUGUUUACAUUGCAAUAGCUCUAGCCAGGCAGUUGCUCCAGUCGUAAGCUCAGGUUGGAAAUGUUCUCAGGGAUAUUUUCAAGGCCUUGUAAUAAGUUAAAAAGCAACAGCUGGCUUAAGGUGAUCCCUGCCCCCUUCUCAGCUUCUUAAGGGAAAUUUUGUAGUAAUCUUGCUCAGUGAGUGCUCUUUGCACCACUAGGAGAAAUUGGCUAAUCGGUGUAUUAUUAUAAACAAAAGUUCUGACAUUUUACUAUGUUCCAGGAAUAAAAGGAAGUUGCAGUACAAUCUUUCCUAUUUCAGAGUCCGGAAUAACCUGGUUCCUGAUUUCUAGCUAUCCUAUUACAUAGAUUGGUCCUUGGCCAGCACCAAAGGAAAAGAUAGAAUUUUUUUUUCCCUAGACCUGUGUUUUUCCUGCUAUCCUACCUAGUCUUCCAUUUCUCUUUUUCUUCAUAUUAAAAGUGCCUCUUCCUACCUCAUUCCUUGACUGAGUUCAAUGUAUUAUUGGUUCCAAUGCUCUCAUCUCCUCAAAAUUACUGGAAUUAAAUGGUAAUUUUGGUAACUUACCUAAGCAUUUCACAUAAUUGCACAUAUUUUCUUUUUCUGUAUGAAUUUCCAUUAGCUCUCCUCAUUCACAGCUCUGGUUUGCUCCAUUUAUGUGGGUUAUUCUGGCUCCUUUUCCCUCCUGGCCUUUUGGCCAGUCAACUCUUCAUCAGGGGAAAGGAACAAAAUUCCUAUCUAUGAAUUGUGCUUUGUUAGGCACAGUGUGUUGGGGAGAACACAUUGGAAGUUAAAAUAAAGUGAGAUCUGAAGAUAAUUGAUGGACUCCUCUUUCUAUUCAUAUGGUAACCUUAUGCCCUGACUUCGGAGGGAUCAUUUCAGAAAAUCUUGUGGUCUUCGUAAGUACCCACUUACUUGCUUUGCCCUCGGGUUCUGAAAACAUGAUCGUAACAUCCAAAGGACACUCCCUUUUCAGUUUCCCAGUGAGCAAUGAAAUUGCGGAAAUAAUAGCAGGCUUUGGCGCUGUGACCCUUUAAGGCAGCCCUGAGCAUCUCUGCAGUUCUGGAUCCUGUCUGGUGAGAUCAGGAAUGAUUGGACCUUCUGAUCAGAUGAAUAGUCCAUCUGAUUUUCAAAUAUGCCAAGCAUCUCCUGGAGAAGAAAGUUGUUUCUCUUUAACCAAGGAAUUUCCAUCACUUAAUUCAAAUAUUUAAAAGACAGGAUGAAACAUCUCAAUUAAAAUUUUCUAUCCAAGAGGAUUAUUUUCCCAGUGUAAAAUCCACCAACUUCCAGGAUAUGCCUGAGUCAUUGUGGCUGAGAUGUGCCCAAGACUGGACCACUUGUUUUUGAUACAAUGGACUCUUCAUAAUGCCAGCUUGGGGACAAAAGUUGUUUUGUAGGGAGUCAUGAAUUGAGGCACCUCACUGGACACUGGUCUGUCUGAGAGGAGAGAGAGGACAGACCUCGAUGGUUUAAUUAACAACUGAACAUUAAAAGACAACCUACUGAAUGGGAGUAGAUAUUUGUAAAUGAGAUAUCUGAUAAAGGAUUAUUAUCCAAAAUAUAUAAAGAACUUAUACAACCCUAAAAAACAAAGAAUCCAAUUCAAAAAGGGCAGAAGACAUAAACAGACAUUUUUCCAAAGAAGACCUACAGAUGGCCAUCUUUUCCAAAGAAGACCUACAGAUGGCCAACAGAAAAGAUGCUCAACGUCACUUAUCAUCAGGGAAAUGCAAAUCAAAACUACAAUGAGAUAUCACCUCACACCUGCCAGAAUGACUAAAAUCAGCAACAAAGGAAACAACAGAUGUUGGUGAAGAUACAGAGAAAAAGGAACUCUUUUAUUUUUUUUUUUUAAAGAUUUUAUUUAUUUAUUUGUCAGAGAGAGAGCGAGAGCGAGCACAGGCAGACAGAGUGGAAGGCAGAGUCAGAGGGAGAGGGAGAAGCAGGCUCCCUGAGGAGCAAGGAGCCUGAUGUGGGACUCCAUCCCAGGACGCUGGGAUCAUGACCUGAGCCGAAGGCAGCUGCUUAACCAACUGAGCCACCCAGGCGUCCCGAAAAAAAGGAACUCUUGUGCACAGCUGGUGGGAACGCAAACUGGUGCAGCCACUCUGGAUAAUGUAUGGAGGUUCCUCAAAAAAUUAAAAAUAGAGCUACCCUGUGCCCCAGUAAUUGCACUACUGGACACUUACCCAAAGAAUACAAAAACACUAAUCGAAGGGAUUUUUAUAGCAGCAUUAUCUACAAUAGCCAGAUUAUGGAAGCAGCCCAAGUGUCGAUCAAUUGAUAAAUGGAUAAAGAAGAUGUGGUAUACAGUGAGAUACCACCUCACACCAGUCAGAAUGGCUAAAAUUAACCAGUAAGGAAACAACAGGUAUUGGUGAGGAUGCGGAAAAAGAGGAACCCUCCUAUGCUGUUGGUGGGAAUGCAAUCUGGUGCAGCCACUCUGGAAAACAGGAUGGAGGUUCCUCAAAAAGUUGAAAAUAGAGCUACCCUACGGCCCAGCAAUUGCACUACUGGGUAUUUACCCUAAAAAUACAAAUGUAGAGAUCCGAAGGGACACGUGUACACGAAAGUUUAUAGCAGCAAUGUCCAUAAUAGCCAAACUAUGGAAAGAACCUAGAUAUCCAUCAACAGAUGAAUGGAUAAAGAAGAUGUGGUAUAUAUAUACAGUGGAAUACUAUGUAGCCAUCAAAAAACCCCCAAAUCUUGACAUGUACAACGAUGUGGAUGGAACUAGGGGUUAUUAUGCUAAGCAAAGUAAGUCAACCAGAGAAAGACAAUUAUAUGUUCUCUCUGAUAUGAGGAAUUUGAGAGGCAGGGCAGGGGAUCGUGGGGGUAGGGAGAGAAAAAGUAAGACAAGAAGUGAUGGGGAAGGGAGACAAACCAUGAGACUCAAUCUCAGGAGACAAACUGAGGGGUGCUGGGGGGUGGGAAAGUAGGGAUAGGGUGGCUGAGUGAUGGACAUUGUGGAGGGUAUGUGCUAUGGUGAGUGCUAUGAAUUGUGUAAGACCGAUGAUUCACAGACCUGUACUCCUGAAGCAAAUAAUACAUUAUAUGUUAAUAAAAUUUUUUUGAAAAGA